rnacentral:lncRNA from 1 species
AUGUGGACAGAAUAAGAAAAGUGCUGUUUCUUCAGAAGCAGGGGUCAGCCAGGAAAAGCAACAAAUGAUCAGGAGAAUUGGGGGCUUACCCAGUGAGCGAAGCUUUGGCAAAAAUGUAAAGCCGUGCAGCACAAUGCAAGAGGAGGCCAAGGACUCCCUGCAAAACCUCAACUUCAAGCCUAAAACAGCCUGAAGGUUGAAAAACUGGACUGCUGGCUCCAGAUGAAGUCCACCCUUUCCCAACUGAUUCUUUCUGAAUAAUGCCCACCUGCACACUCAGAGGAUGGGGUGGGGCCAUGCAAGCUCCCUGCCGGGAACCCAGCCUCUUGAGCUCCUAUGUGGUGGGGCAGGAGCCAGUUCACAGGCUUCCCUCUCACUCUGCUGAGAGUUUUUCUCUUUUCCUUUUUUUUGCCCAAUAAAUUCCAUUU